GCUACCGGCAGGCCUAAUACAUGCAAGUCGAGCGGAAACGAUCCUAGCUUGCUAGGAGGCGUCGAGCGGCGGACGGGUGAGUAAUGCAUAGGAAUCUGCCCGGUAGUGGGGGAUAACUUGAGGAAACUCAAGCUAAUACCGCAUACGCCCUACGGGGGAAAGCAGGGGCUCUUCGGACCUUGCGCUAUCGGAUGAGCUUAUGUCGGAUUAGCUGGUUGGUGAGGUAACGGCUCACCAAGGCGACGAUCCGUAGCUGGUCUGAGAGGAUGAUCAGCCACAUCGGGACUGAGACACGGCCCGAACUCCUACGGGAGGCAGCAGUGGGGAAUAUUGGACAAUGGGGGCAACCCUGAUCCAGCCAUGCCGCGUGUGUGAAGAAGGCCCUCGGGUUGUAAAGCACUUUCAGCGAGGAAGAAUGCUUGUCGGUUAAUACCCGGCAAGGGAGACAUCACUCGCAGAAGAAGCACCGGCUAACUCCGUGCCAGCAGCCGCGGUAAUACGGAGGGUGCGAGCGUUAAUCGGAAUUACUGGGCGUAAAGCGUGCGUAGGCGGCUUGAUAAGCCGGUUGUGAAAGCCCCGGGCUCAACCUGGGAACGGCAUCCGGAACUGUUAGGCUAGAGUGCAGGAGAGGAAGGUAGAAUUCCCGGUGUAGCGGUGAAAUGCGUANAGAUCGGGAGGAAUACCAGUGGCGAAGGCGGCCUUCUGGA
rnacentral:rRNA from 1 species